rnacentral:lncRNA from 10 species
AAUGAUGGGGACAUUCCUUAGCUGCACAAACAGUCCUGAAGGCUGUACAGCUAGGUCUGAACCUGUCCACGAGCCCCUUUUGUGAGCUGGGUGGGUUGCCCUGUUGAGCUGCUUUUUAGAAGCCUUCAUCCAUCAAGGCAGGCCAGGGGGCAAGCUGCCUCUGGAGUGCCGGCACCUUGGAUCCUGGUAUCUGCCCAUCCUGCCUGCAAGGCCCUCAUAACUUGCCCUCAGCCACCCCAGGCAGCCCUGUCUCUAGUAACAAUUUUUGUCUUGAAGUCUAUCUUGUCUGAGAAGAUCCCACUCUCCUCUGGUCACUGCUUGCAAGGAAUAUCUUUUGUUAUUUUUUAAUUUUUUUGAGAUGGAGUUUCGCUUUUGUCACCCAGGCUGGAGUGUGGUGGCGCGAUCUUGGCUCACUGCAAAUUCUGCCUCCUGGGUUCAAGUGACUCUCCUGCCUCAGCCUCCCCAGUAGCUGGGAUUAACAGGCUCCCGCCACCACGCCAGGCUAAUUUUUUUUUUUUGACGGAGUUUCAGCUCUUGUUGCCCAGGCUGGAGUGCAAUGGCGCAAUCUCGGCUCACCACAACCUCCACCUCCCAGGUUCAAGCCGUUCUCAGCCUCCCAAGUAGCUGGGAUUACAGGCAUGUGCCAUCACAUCCGACUAAUUUUGUAUUUUUAGUAGAGACGGGUUUCUCCAUGUUGGUCAGGCUGGUCUUGAAUUCCUGACCUCAGGUGAUCCACCCACCUCAGCCUCCCAAAGUGUUGGGAUUAUAGGGGUGAGCCACUGUGCCCCGCUGGAAUAUCUUUUUAUAUCAUUUUACUUUUAACGUAUUUGUGUCUUGUCUUUUUUUCGUAGAGACAGGAUCUCACUCUGUCACCCAGGCUGGAGUGCAGUGGGGCCAUCAGAGCUCACUGCAAUCACCAACUCCUGGGCUCAAGUGAUCCUCUUGCCUCAGCCUCCCAAAGAGCUGAGAUUACAGGUGCAUGCCACUGUGCCUGGCCCUAUUUGUGUCUUUGAAUCUUAAAUGUGUCUCUUGCAAACCUCAUAUAGUAGUUAGGUCAUGUUUUUUUUUUGUGUGUUUGUUUGUUUUUUAUCUAUUCUGCCAAUCUCUGCUUUUUUUUGUGGUAAAAUACCCAUAAUAUUAAAGUAUAAAAAUAUUUUAGUAUUGGCCGGGCUUAGUGGCUCAUGCCUGUAAUCUCAGCACUUUGGGAGGCCAAGGCGGGUGGAUCACGAGGUCAGGAGAUCAAGAUCAUCCUGGCCAACAUGGUGAAACCGCGUCUCUACUAAAAAUACAAAAAUUAGCUGGGUGUGGUGGCGGGCACCUACAGUCCCAGCUACUUGGGAGGCUGAGGCAGAAGAACUGCUUGAACCUGGGAGGCAGAGGUUGCAGUGAGCUGAGACCACACCACUGCACUCCAGCCUGGGCAACAGAGUGAGACUCCAUCUCAAAAACAAACAUAUAUAUAAAAAUGCAAAGAAAAAUUAGCCAGGCAUGGUGGCGCGCACCUGUAUUUCCAGCUACUCAGGAGGCUGAAGCACGAGAGUCACUUGAACCUUGGAGGCAGAGGUUGCAGUGAGCAGAGAUUGCACCAGUCCACUCCAGCCUGGAUGACAGAGUGAGACUCUGUCUCAAAAAAAUAAAAAUAAAAUAAAAAUGAAGUGUGCA